GAUGAACGCUGGCGGUCUGCUUAACACAUGCAAGUCGAACGAACUCUUCGGAGUGAGUGGCGGACGGGUGAGUAACGCGUGAGAAUCUGCCUGUGGGUCGGGGACAACCACUGGAAACGGUGGCUAAUACCGGAUGAGCCGAAAGGUAAAAAAUUUAUUGCCCACAGAUGAGCUCGCGUCUGAUUAGCUAGUUGGUAAGGUAAAAGCGUACCAAGGCGACGAUCAGUAGCUGGUCUGAGAGGAUGAGCAGCCACACUGGGACUGAGACACGGCCCAGACUCCUACGGGAGGCAGCAGUGGGGAAUUUUCCGCAAUGGGCGAAAGCCUGACGGAGCAAGACCGCGUGGGGGAGGAAGGUUUUUGGAUCGUAAACCCCUUUUGUCAAGGAAGAAGUUCUGACGGUACUUGACGAAUAAGCCUCGGCUAACUCCGUGCCAGCAGCCGCGGUAAUACGGAGGAGGCAAGCGUUAUCCGGAAUGAUUGGGCGUAAAGCGUCUGUAGGUGGCCAGCUAAGUCUGCUGUUAAAGAUCACAGCUCA
rnacentral:rRNA from 1 species